rnacentral:rRNA from 1 species
CUGGUGUCAGCCGCCGCGGUAAUACCAGCUCUCCGAGUGGUAGGGAUGUUUAUUGGGCUUAAAGCGUCCGUAGCCGGCUCAGCAAGUCCUCCGUUAAAUCCAGCGAUUUAAUCGUUGGGCUGCAGGGGAUACUGUUGGGCUAGGGGACGGGAGAGGUCGACGGUAUUCUCGGAGUAGGGGUGAAAUCCUAUAAUUCCGGGAGGACCACCAGUGGCGAAGGCUGUCGACUAGAACGAGCUCGACGGUGAGGGACGAAAGCUGGGGUAGCGAACCGGAUUAGAUACCCGGGUAGUCCCAGCUGUAAACGAUGCGGGCUAGGUGUUAGAAUGGCUACGAGCCAUUCUAGUGCCGCAGCGAAGGCAUUAAGCCCGCCGCCUGGGGAGUACGGCCGCAAGGCUGAAACUUAAAGGAAUUGGCGGGAGAGCACCACAAGGCGUGAAGCGUGCGGUUUAAUUGGAGUCAACACCGGAAACCUUACCGGGGGCGACAGCAGAUUGAAGGCCAGAUUGACGAUCUUGCCAGACAAGCU